UACGAAGGGGGGCUAGCGUUGCUCGGAAUCACUGGGCGUAAAGGGUGCGUAGGCGGGUCUUUAAGUCAGGGGUGAAAUCCUGGAGCUCAACUCCAGAACUGCCUUUGAUACUGAGGAUCUUGAGUGUGGGAGAGGUUAGCGGAACUCCGAGUGUAGAGGUGAAAUUCGUAGAUAUUCGGAAGAACACCAGUGGCGAAGGCGGCUAACUGGCCCAUUACUGACGCUGAGGCUCGAAAGCGUGGGGAGCAAACAGG
rnacentral:rRNA from 1 species